GGAAAACAAGGGUUUACCCUUGUUCUCACCAAAUUCACCAAAUUGACAAGGAAAAAUCGAUGCUUAACAGUUGCAUGUAGUAAAAUUUCGAUCAUCUACCCAUACCCGGUGAAGUGGAAUGAAAGUGGGGUACUAAAGGAAUGAAUGAAUGUAUUGAUAUAGGUGCGAAGGAAGAAGGUUCAAACUCUAAGAAAUCGGAAGGAUCACAAGACCGAGGUAAAUACUCAAUUUAGGCGACUUGGAGAAUUGGAGCGAGCACAUGUUCAUGAUAUGUCAUACCAAACGCUUCCGCUAGUUGCACUUAUGUUUUGGGUCAAAUUUCCAUUUUGUACAACUUGUUAGUAGUCGUAUAUUUUAAAACUUGUUGCCUUUGUUUUCGGUAGUAUUAUGUCAAACGGAUCGUAGGAUGUUAAUUAGUUUGAUUAUGUUCAAAACAGGGGCAUGCUCGUUUUAUGGACGGGUCAUGCCCAAAUUUUGUAAAAAUUAUGCAUCAAGUUGGUACUUUUGAUGUCUUUAA